rnacentral:lncRNA from 1 species
UCCUACUCGCUCAAUCACAAGUGAAAUAUAUAAAAGUAUGUUAGACAUUACAAUUCUACUCUAAAAUCUUCAUGAUACAUAUGAAUUAUGACAACUGGUGAGAUAUUAUGUAGCUGAUAUAACAAGAACAAAAUUCAACAAUUAAUUGCAUAUCAAAAAAUAAAAAUAUAUCAGUGUUAAUUGGUAGCCAUUCUUGGGAUCAUUAGUUGCUGUGUUUUUUAGCCCAUAAGAACCUUACUAACAGAAGAUAAGCUCCAGAAGAGAACUUUGGAACAUGCAUCUGCUCAAAUUCAGGAAGGCUGGAGAAGUGUCUUCGCUUCAGUCUGUGAAAGUGUUGUAUCCCCAACUCUGUGAAUUUCGAAAGUGGGACAUCUUGGAACACAUCAAUUUCUUCUAUUACAACAUCAUGCAUGCGCAUGUGAUAUUUUAUCAUUGCUUUAAGUUCU